rnacentral:rRNA from 1 species
UACGGAGGGUGCGAGCGUUGUCCGGAAUCAUUGGGCGUAAAGGGCGCGUAGGUGGCCCGGUAAGCGUGCGGUGAAAGCUUGGGGCUCAACCCCGAGUCGGCCGUGCGAACUGCUGGGCUUGAGCACUGUAGAGGCAGGCGGAAUUCCGGGUGUAGCGGUGGAAUGCGUAGAGAUCCGGAAGAACACCGGUGGCGAAGGCG